rnacentral:rRNA from 1 species
CUACGGGCGGCAGCAGUGGGGAAUAUUGCACAAUGGAGGAAACUCUGAUGCAGCAACGCCGCGUGGAGGAUGACACUUUUCGGAGCGUAAACUCCUUUUAUAUAGGAAGAAGAUGACGGUACUAUAUGAAUAAGCGCCGGCUAACUCCGUGCCAGCAGCCGCGGUAAUACGGAGGGCGCAAGCGUUACUCGGAAUCACUGGGCGUAAAGAGCGUGUAGGCGGAUUAAAAAGUCAGAAGUGAAAUCCUAUAGCUUAACUAUAGAACUGCUUCUGAAACUCUUAAUCUAGAAUAUGGGAGAGGUAGAUGGAAUUUCUGGUGUAGGGGUAAAAUCCGUAGAGAUCAGAAGGAAUCCCGAUUGCGAAGGCGAUCUACUAGAACAUUAUUGACGCUGAGACGCGAAAGCGCGGGGAGCAAACAGGAUUAGAUACCCCGGUAGUC